AUUUUCUGGUCUUUACCUUAAGCAUUACACUCAACAAGUCCUCUUUCUUUUUCCUCUCUAUGCGCUAAUAAGUGAGAAAACAAACUGAAUACUUAUUACAAUUUUUAUAAAGCAAACUCAGCCAUUAUUUCCCCCCACAGAACCGUGAACUCCUUAAGAAAUGGCAACACACUUAAGCACAUUUUCCUCCUCCUCUUCACCUCCCAAAGCCGUAGACCACUUGGAGGAGAACACAAAGAGAAAAAAGAAAAAUUUGCGUCCUUCCUCUUCUUCCCCUCAAAACACGUGAGACUUUUAAGGAGGAGACCUUCACAUAAGCCUCCAUUUCCUCUUCCCUCUUAAUUCGGCCAAGAGUCUAUAAGCAUGAAGGUGUGGUAUUUUCCUUAGUCCUUUGUUCGUGCAUUCCUCCUUUCGGCUGAUGAGGAAUUCCUCUGCAUGCAGAACCAAACUUAAGUUCACAGCCACCUCUUCCCCUCUCUGCCCGGCCAAAGCAACCAUCAUCAAGGAGGUGAGGUGUUUCCUUUAUCUCCUUGUUAAUCUCCAUAUGAAUUGGUCCUGUUUGAACCUCCUCCCCUUGCAUGCAGCAUAAGCUCGGCAUGUUGGAACAUUAGAAAAGUGGAGUUGAUAUUAUUUUUCUGAUUUGCGAGUUGUCUCAACACAAAGAGGGGCGCACAUUUCGUGAGUUGUGGACUUUUCAAUGCUGCCCGGUAAAUUUACUGUGACGUGUGAGGAGGACGGAAGAGCAUAUGAAGUCAUGAUUAUAUGGAUAUCUGCUGUGAUGUGCUGCUGUUUGGACUUUUGUUGUUGCUGUUUAUUUGAUGGAUAACUAUAUUAAUUUGAAAAGUUUGGAUUACCGUUGGAUUAUGAUUUUACUACUGUUUUAAGACUUUUAUGAUCAGCAAAUAUUUUGGAAACAAA